UCCUUACUCCCAGCGUCACACACUCUAGAUCCAGCCACCUCUGAAACAGCCCCCACUUAUAACUGCAUGGGGAUUUGGGUGGACAAAUAGACACAAGCCAUAAUAAGUACAUAGGCUUGGAGGGCAUAAAAGAAGUCUCCUUGCAUGAAGGAAAAGGUUACCUUCACUAAGUACCCAUUAUGGUAGGUGCUUUUCUAAAACACUGUAUUAAUUUUUAUUACUAUAAUAAAAUGCAUGGUUGUGGGUAAUUUUAUAAAGAAAAGAGACUUAUUUAACUCAGCUCUGCUAUGGACCUUAGGAAGAGGGCAUAAUCAAUGGCAGGAAAAAGAAGGAAAGAGAGAGAUCACAUGUCAAGACAUGACAUCAGAGCAUUUCACCAGAGUCAAGGAAAGACAAAUCCCUGAUGCUCCACAGGGACAUUUCAUUCACAGCAGCAGCAAGGCAGAAACAGCUUGGGCCCACUAGAUGAUCUUGGCUUCCAACGUUGACCCAGGAGUAAAUAUCUCUAAUGGUCCUGUGUACCAUAUACACUCCUCUCUGAUAACAACCUGCUCUGAACUUGGGCUAAGUGCUGCUAAUAUUGUUGGUCAAUUGCAGAUGGGCCAAGGGGGUCAGAAACAUCCCUUAUGUGGAAGGGGCACUUUACUGGCUAAGGCAAUUGGAGCUGCUCAAGAAAGAAUAUUGCAGACUGGGUGGCUUAAAUAACAAUCAUUUUUCUCACAGUAAAAAAAUCAAGGUGUUGGCUGAUUCAGUUCUUGAUGAGGUCCCACUUCCCGGUUUGCAGAAAGACUGUACUUUAUGUGACAGAAAGAGAGCUGGCUUGCUCUCCGGACAGUUCUUAUAAGGGUACUAAUCCAAUUCAUGAGGCUUCCACUCUCCAGGCCUAAUCCUCUUCCAAUGGUCCCACCCCCAAAUGCCAUUGUAUUGAGAAUUAGGCCUCAAUAUGCAAAUUUUGUUGGUGGGGGGCACAAACAUUCACUCCACAGAGGAGUAUCAUCUCAUGUUUGCCUUCCAAUAGCAAGAAAAAUAUUUUAUUAUGUCCAUUUUACAGAGAGGAAGAUGAAGGAUGAAACAUGAAGUGGUAAGUAAAGAAUGGUGGCUGGGCAAAGGGUCAUAUUUCUCCCUGUGUCCCAAGGUGGGGAGGAGAGCUGGUAGCUGCUGCCUAAGUGGUCACUGCAUGAAAAGAUAGCAGGGCCCACCUCCUGCAGGGCAGGUCUCAGAAACACUGCAGAGGGCCCAGCCUAGAGAAAGGACUCAGCCCCCUAAUGGUCCUGUUGAAAUCACUGUCUGAACAUCCAUUCAUGAGUGGUCUCCUGAGUACCUCUGGGCCUAGUGUUGCUCAUGUAUCCGUCCAGUCGUCACGGCCACAACAAUCCAUCUUGGCCUGUUGCACUUGGAGACCUGGAAAGGGGCCAUCACGUGGCCUUUAGAGCUGCUCUGGCAUAGUAUAAAGUACAAAUUUAGGGCCAAAAGAGUGUGAGUCCCUGCUCUGUGUCUUGGGAGGUGCAGGGCCUUUGGGAGAAAGGUGCCUUUCUCCCCACUUUGAAAUCAAGAGGGUAGGACUUGAGAGGUGAAGAAGCACAGACUCGCACAAUCAGAAUUCACACUCCAGACCACAAUGCACACUUGUGCUUCCCAGGGGUCUCACAGGUGUUAGAAUCUAUGGGGGUUUGGAGAAUGCAGGUUUAGAGCUCUUCCUUCAACUCGUAAACUGCAUCCUGGGGAUGAGGCCCUGAAAUCCAUGUUCUUCACAAGCUCAGUAGGUGAUUCUGAUGUGUAAGGAGCUUGGAGAGUCAGCUCUCCCCUGCCUCAGGGCAUCUGUAACAGGCCCACAGACAGCAUCCAGCAGGAGGGUAGCUAACACUGUGGGAACACAGCUGGCAAAGGCUCCAUCCCUCAAAGCUAAAAGAGCUGCUUGCUUGGCUGGAGUGACUUCUGUGACUAAAGCAUAUGAUGGAGCCACCAAGAACUACUGUGAUUCAACAGGAGUUAAAGAGGACCAGGUCUGGCCUUUCCUGCUAAGGGUUUCAUCCUUGGCCUGAUCAAGGGAAGCUUAGCUUGGCUGGGGAUUUAGCUCAGCGGUUCAGUGACCUGCCUUACAAGUUCAAGGACCCAAGUUCAUUCCCCGGUACAUAAGAAAAGAGAGAGAGAGAGAGAGAGAGAGAAAAGUUUAGCUUCCCUGUAGAUAUCUUAGACUAUUUCAAUUUUCACAACUUAUAUGAGUUAAAUUAAAUUCAACAUUCCUUGUAGUGUGUUAAAUUCUCCUCAAUAUUUGUUCUGCUUAUAAAACCCCCCAAUGAAAAGGCAUAGUGACAAGUGUUUAAAAGGUCUUUAAUAUUGUCGAGAGCAAGGUUGAUGGCUUAAUCCCCUAUCGUCCUUUAUCAGAUCCACCUCCCAGCAGCUCUAAAUUAUAGUGCAAUUUAAGCAAAAAGUCAGUAUGCUUCCCAUAGAAAUGCAGUUUCACAACAAAACCUUUAGCCCACAUCGAGCUAUCUCCAACUGCCCCUAAUUUUUCUUCUAUAGAUGCUCAGCAGCUGCCAGGGUUUCUGUUAAAAUACUUGAACACAAUGGACCAAUCAGCACUUGCUAUGGUUGGCAGCUGAGACUGAUGUCUGUGUGUCUGAUUAGUGUUGACUUAGUCUCCCAUCAUAGCUUUGGUACUGAGAACUGACCACCCCUGCCCCACCCCCACAGCUGCCUCUUUGCCCAUUUCUCCAGCUCUCAUUUGUGCUCAUUUGUGACACUGGCCUGAGUUUACAAGUAACACUGAAUGACUUCCUGAUUGACUGAUUGAUUGAUUCUGUUGUUAUAGAAACUACCAGACUCCAGUGUAAUGGUAUUUCUUCCUGACUUUAUGUGUGACAAGGUUCUGUCUCCCUGGGCUGGCUUCAUCUGGAUCAGGAAGAGUAACCGCAUGCACAGCAUCAAGAGGAAGAUGUUUCCUGUUCUCCCUGCUCAUUGGAGUUAGUCUUCUCUGUCCUGUUGGCCUUGUGACUCUGGUGAAUCAAGUGUGAGCUCAGUCUCAACUGCUGAGGAUUAGAAGAUCUUCACUUCUCUGAGAGUUCUCCCAGUGGGCUUCUGCUGCCUUCAGGAGAUCCUCGAAGGGAGAAGUCCUUCACAGGAGAGCAGCUUGCUGCCAGGAAACCUGCAAUAUAACCAGAAGGCUCUCCUAGAAUCACAAUAUUAGAGCUAUAAAGGAUUCAGAUAUCAUCUUCUGCAGGAAUUCUCAGCAAGGUCUUCAGAGGAAUUUAAGGGAUGGAGAUUUUUCCAUGAUUUUAAAUUCCACAAACAUUUCUCAGGCACAUCUUGGACUAUUUUCCUUGCAUUACCUUCCUUAGUUCUCUCAGUGAUCUGGGAGGUGGUGUUUGGUGUUUUUCACUUUCAUUACAAGUGAAGAGAGUCCCUACAGCCAAUGUGCAGUGGGCUCAAACUCUAGGUUCUUUCCACGCCAAACUGAGCUGACUGGGCCCCACACUCUGGGAACACACCUUCCAAAUUCUGAGAACUCAGGUCCUGCAGUCCUUGAAGUCUCUUUGUGGAAGCAGUAUGCAUCCAAGAUGAUUUCCGUUUACUCAAGGAGGUGUUUUCUGCACAUCUUGGCAGCAGUGAGACUGCUUUCAGUGCCUCCCUUUGUCAGAGAUGGCAAAUGUCACUCAGCACCCCACGGAAGACUUCUAUUCUGCCAGCUGACAGCAUCCCAUGGAACAGAACAGUGAGUCUCCAAUCUUCAGACCAUUCCAGCCAGAGGCCAGACAAUGCCAGAAGCAAGAAGUGAUCCUCAAGGAUAAACCUCUGCCCCCUCCUGAUGUGGAGAAAGGUCAGCUUUUCCUCAUCUGAAACAACAGAGAAUGCUUUGAUUUUUCUUCAGAGAUUGGUAUGUCUGGUGAAUUGCAAGAGUUGCUUGCUUCCUCUAUGUUUAAAAUCAAACAUGGUUAUCUGUUUAGCUUUGGGUUGGUACAAGGUAUUAAUUCUCAAGAUAAAGUCAGGGAAACAGAAGUCCAAAAACACAAAUGUACGUACCUUACUUAGAUGGUUUUAUUGCUCAUACAGUAGGCCCUCUUUAUCCAUGAAAUCAUGUUCCAAAGCACUGAACCUAAAGAGAUUUUUAAAUCCUGGAAUAGUGUUUUCUCAAUUAAGUAUAUAGUUAUUAUAAUAUUUAACUUAUAAUUUAGGAAUGCUAAAAUAUUAUCAACAAUAACUACUAACAAAGCACUAUAAUAAAAGUUGUAUGACUGUGUUCUUUG